rnacentral:rRNA from 1 species
AGUGAACGCUGGCGGCGUGCCUAAUACAUGCAAGUCGACCGGAGUGGCGCAAGGGUGAGUAAUAUAUAGAUAACUUUUCCAUUACUAAGGGACAACAGUUGGAAACGACUGCUAAUACCUUAUAGUAAUGGAUAGGGCUAUAUCGUAUCAGCUAGUUGGUAAGGUAACGGCGUACCAAGGAUAUGACGCCUAGCUGGGCUGAGAGGAUGUUCAGUCACACUUGAACUUAGACACGGUCCAGACUCCUACGGGAGGCAGCAGUAGGGAAUCUUGCUCAAUGGGGGAAACCCUGAAGCUGCUACGCCGCGUGGAGGAUUACACUUAUCGGAGCGUAAAUUCCUUUUCUUGGGAAAGCGGUACCCAAUGAAUAAGCACCGGCUAACUCCGUGCCAGCAGCCGCGGUAAUAC